CCGCAUGAGGACUCCGCCCACCACGGUCGCCCAUCCUGACCGCCCCUGCCGAAGUCCCUAGCCGGAGCUCUGCUGUCCCCACCGCCGAAUCCACCGGAGGAGCUGCUCCCAGUCUGAAUCCCCUUGCCACUCAAGCCUGCCGCCCCCAAUCCCGCCAUCGCCAUAGCCCAUCGUUGGCCAGCAAGAGUUGUGCCGUCACUGCAUCCCCAUUACCCUCCGAAUCCAGAAAGUACACCAAGGUGAGAAAGGCUAAGACAUUCAAGAUUUGGGUUACUCCUGUUGCUAAUUUGCAUUCAGUCCAGAUCCACCAUCUCUUCCCCUUUCUUGAGAAGGAAUGUAUUUAGCUUGAUUUAGAUGUGAAUAUGAUGUUUAAUGCCUUAAUUGAUUUUGCAGAGGAACCGGCUGGAUUCAAGAUCUUGCACACCACACAAUCCAUUAGCUUGCAUGUAUAUUCUUUUAUGUUGUGUCUGCAACUUUUUUUUAGUAUGAUGGCAAAGUUCACACUGAUGCGAGUUCAUAGUCACUUUACUUUGGUCCUUUAUGCGAAAAAAACAUGUUGUGUUUAUUCUAUAUAUAAAAAGUUUGAGAGAAGGAAUCAAUUGAACUUUAAGCUGCAAUGGAAGUAUAAGUUAGUCUCCUUGCUGCAAUAUAUCAGUUCUGAGUAUUUCAUUCUUUCUUGUGCAUGUUGCAAAAUAUCCAAUAAGGAAGCACUAAAGGAUUCAAGUCUUCGAUUGUUCUUUCUACCCAAGUCAUCACCACCUAUAGCUUCGAAGCACUUAAGCUAUGUGGUGUUGCAAAUAUUUUGGAUUGGGCAACCUUUUGAGCAUCGAUCAGAGAGUUGUUACAUGUUCUCUAGAGUGGUAGCAACCAUAUGUGCAUGAAGUUGGUGUUCAAGUAUUUUGGAGUGGCAACAAGUGUCCGAGAAAUGCAAAUGUUGUAGUUCUGUUCUUUUGUUUACACCUACUAGGCUACUAUCAUGUAGGCUAAAACAUAUGGAAGUGUUGAAUGCCACUUUUGCGCCCAAGUCAUGAUCUAUUGAUCUCUUAGCUUUAGCCAUAACCAGUUAGUAUAUAAGACUUAGU